rnacentral:rRNA from 1 species
AUUGAACGCUGGCGGCAUGCCUUACACAUGCAAGUCGAACGGUAGAAGGAGCAAUCCUUCGAGAGUGGCGAACGGGUGAGUAAUACAUCGGAACGUACCUGGUAGUGGGGGAUAGCCCGGCGAAAGCCGGAUUAAUACCGCAUAAGACCUGAGGGUGAAAGCGGGGGACCGUAAGGCCUCGCGCUACCGGAGCGGCCGAUGUCAGAUUAGCUAGUUGGUGGGGUAAAAGCCUACCAAGGCGACGAUCUGUAGCUGGUCUGAGAGGACGACCAGCCACACUGGGGCUGAGACACGGCCCAGACUCCUACGGGAGGCAGCAGUGGGGAAUUUUGGACAAUGGGCGCAAGCCUGAUCCAGCCAUGCCGCGUGCGGGAAGAAGGCCUUCGGGUUGUAAACCGCUUUUGUCGGGGAAGAAAUACUCUGGACUAAUACUCUGGGGUGAUGACGGUACCUGAAGAAUAAGCACCGGCUAACUACGUGCCAGCAGCCGCGGUAAAGUAGUCGUG